GACGAACGCUGGCGGCGUGCUUAACACAUGCAAGUCGAACGGAAAGGCCCUGCUUUUGUGGGGUGCUCGAGUGGCGAACGGGUGAGUAACAUGUGAGUAACCUGCCCUUGACUUUGGGAUAACUUCAGGAAACUGGGGCUAAUACCGGAUAGGAGCUCCUGCUGCAUGGUGGGGGUUGGAAAGUUUCGGCGGUUGGGGAUGGACUCGCGGCUUAUCAGCUUGUUGGUGGGGUAGUGGCUUACCAAGGCUUUGACGGGUAGCCGGCCUGAGAGGGUGACCGGCCACAUUGGGACUGAGAUACGGCCCAGACUCCUACGGGAGGCAGCAGGGGGGAAUAUUGCACAAUGGGCGGAAGCCUGAUGCAGCAACGCCGCGUGCGGGAUGACGGCCUUCGGGUUGUAAACCGCUUUAGCCUGUGACGAAGCGUGAGUGACGGUAAUGGGUAAAGAAGCACCGGCUAACUACGUG
rnacentral:rRNA from 1 species